ensembl:lncRNA
AUGAGAGUUGUCCGCUCCAAUAUGGCGGCGACGUUGACGUGCGGUCGAGCGGCCAAUGAGGCGUCUAGGUAUUUUAUUUUAUUUAUUUUUUAUUUAUUUAUUUUUUUUGGACUCCGAAGCGCGUUUCGGGAAUCGUUUGAUCGGGGCUUCGGAGUUUGCAAAACAUUUGAUUCAGAUCGGGACUCCGAAGCGCGUUUCGCGAAUUAUUUGAUCGGGGCUUCGGAGCGAGUUUGCAAAACAUUUUAUUCAGAUCGGGACUCCGAAGCGCGUUUCGCGAAUUAUUUGAUCGGGGCUUCGGAGCGAGUUUGCAAAACAUUUUAUUCAGAUCGGGACUCCGAAGCGCGUUUCGCGAAUUAUUUGAUCGGGGCUUCGGAGCGAGUUUGCAAAACAUUUGAUUCAGAUCGGGACUCCGAAGCGCGUUUCGCGAAUUAUUUGAUCGGGGCUUCGGAGCGAGUUUGCAAAACAUUUGAUUCAGAUCGGGACUCCGAAGCGCGUUUCGCGAAUUAUUUGAUCGGGGCGUAUAGUUUCUACAAUAUUUAGUAGUAGCUUACACGAUUUAUCUAUAUCAUUUUACUUUAGCUUUAUUUCAAUUACAGAAAACUGUUUUUAGUAGUUUCAGUCUUAGUUAACAACAAUGACACAUAGUUGGUUGCUUUGGAAAUUACUAGUUAGGAGUAAAAGUGUAACUGUGUGUGCUUAUUUUACAUAUUUAUUUUUUAAAAUAAAAUGUAAAAAUUAUAUAUUGUUCAUGUUUGUUAAUGAAUUAACUAACAUUAACUAAAGGACUAGUAUUCUAAAGUGUUACUACUUCAUCUUUGUAAAUAAGUAAGGGUAGUGAAAUUAAAGAGAGAAGCUUUAGCUCCAUCAUUAAUCUAGACAGUCAAAGGGCUCACUCUGUAUAUUGUGCUCAUAACACCAUUUAGUUCAUUAUUUAAAAGGCAAUAUAAGUUUAAACGUAAUAAGAAUUCAUUUAAACUUUGAAUUCUUAUGAAGUCUCAGCUUUCACUGAUAACUACGUUAGCGAUAUCGCUAUCUAUUAUUAAUAGUCUGACACUGGCUGUCAACAUAAUGUUAAAAAUGACCAAAAAAACAUCGAGAAAGAACAGCUGAGUCUUACCUGUGAAAGAUAACACCCCGAGAUCUGUUUUUAUUAUCGUGUGACGGUUUGUAGGUAUCCAAUCUGUCUAUGAUUCUGGUUUGUUUUCUUCUUUCCUGAUGUGAGAGUUAUGAGAGUUGUCCGCUCCAAUAUGGCGGCGACGUUGACGUGCGGUCGAGCGGCUAAUGAGGCGUCUAGGUAUUUUAUUUAUUUAUUAUUUUAUUUAUUUAUUUAUUUUUUUGGGACUCCGAAGCGCGUUUCGCGAAUCAUUUGAUCGGGAGCUUCGGAGCGACUUUGCAAAACAUUCGAUUCAGAUCGGGACUCCGAAGCGCGUUUCGUGAAUCAUUUGAUCGGGAGCUUCGGAGCGACUUUGCAAAACAUUUGAUUCAGAUCGGGACUCCGAAGCGCGUUUCGUGAAUCAUUUGAUCGGGAGCUUCGGAGCGACUUUGCAAAACAUUCGAUUCAGAUCGGGACUCCGAAGCGCGUUUCGUGAAUCAUUUGAGAUCGGGGCUUCGGAGUUUGCAAAACAUUUGAUUCAGAUCGGGACUCCGAAGCGCGUUUCGCGAAUCAUUUGAGAUCGGGGCUUCGGAGUUUGCAAAACAUUUGAUUCAGAUCGGGACUCCGAAGCGCGUUUCGUGAAUCAUUUGAGAUCGGGGCUUCGGAGUUUGCAAAACAUUUGAUUCAGAUCGGGACUCCGAAGCGCGUUUCGUGAAUCAUUUGAUCGGGAGCUUCGGAGCGAGUUUGCAAAACAUUUGAUUCAGAUCGGGACUCCGAAGCGCGUUUCGCGAAUCAUUUGAUCGGGAGCUUCGGAGCGAGUUUGCAAAACAUUUGAUUCAGAUCGGGACUCCGAAGCGCGUUUCGCGAAUUAUUUGAUCGGGAGCUUCGGAGCGAGUUUGCAAAACAUUUGAUUCAGAUCGGGACUCCGAAGCGCGUUUCGUGAAUCAUUUGAUCGGGAGCUUCGGAGCGAGUUUGCAAAACAUUCAGAUCGGGACUCCGAAGCGCGUUUCGCGAAUCAUUUGAUCGGGAGCUUCGGAGCGAGUUUGCAAAACAUUUGAUUCAGAUCGGGACUCCGAAGCUCGUUUCGCGAAUCAUUUGAGAUCGGGGCUUCGGAGUUUGCAAAACAUUUGAUUCAGAUCGGGACUCCGAAGCGCGUUUCGCGAAUCAUUUGAGAUCGGGGUUUCGGAGUUUGCAAAACAUUUGAUUCUAUCAUGUAGGCUACUAGAUCAAGUUUUAAUAAAGAGAAAAGAGGUUUAGAGACAGAUUUUUGUUAAUAACCUGUUAGUAAUCCCACAGUCCAUAGCAUCAGUAACUGUAUAAUUUAGUAAGGGAAAAUUAAAACAACAUAUAAUGAGUUUAAAAUUGUUUUUUUUUUUUUUUUUUUUUGUAGCAAUGGUCAUCGUAACGACGUAUUUAUAUGUCUAUAAGGCUGUAACCAGAAAUGACGUCACGGUUGUUUUGAGUUUCGUAGCGCGGUGCGCAUGCGCAGACACUCGUGUCCUUCUCUCGGCUCGACGCAUCGGUUGUUGAAUGCGACAGAACGCGGCCAUUGGACCACAUGUUAUCAACCGCAUUAAACUUCGAAUAAGUUGUGAAAAUAUC